rnacentral:rRNA from 1 species
UAGAUAGUUGUUAGUGGCAGACGGGUGAGUAAUGCGUAGGAAUCUACCUAGUAGUAUGGAAUAGCCAUUAGAAAUGAUGGGUAAUACUGUAUAAUCCCUGCGGGGGAAAGAUUUAUCGCUAUUAGAUGAGCCUACGUUAGAUUAGCUAGUUGGUAAGGUAAUGGCUUACCAAGGCUAUGAUCUAUAGCUGGUCUGAGAGGACGAUCAGCCACACUGGAACUGAGAUACGGUCCAGACUCCUACGGGAGGCAGCAGUGGGGAAUAUUGGACAAUGGGCGAAAGCCUGAUCCAGCUAUGCCGCGUGAGUG